GAUGACUCUUCCCACAGUUUGAAUAUGGGGACACAUAGAUGGCUGCUACUGUGUGACACAAAGGAUCGUAAGUGCGAGUUAGGCCAGGAUUCUGUCACCAUGUGGAAAAAAACAUCAUCAUCAGAAGCGCAACUAUAACUGCAAUGGAAAAAUCGAUCAGGAAGAGGAAGGACACAACAGAAGAGACCGAUGGGCCAUGCGAACAGCAGUACCAACCAAAUGGAUGAUGGAAGAAGGGAAAUUGUUCUGGACAGGAAAAAGAGACAUGAUCAU